GACGAACGCUGGCGGCGUGCUUAACACAUGCAAGUCGAACGGUAAGGCCCUUCGGGGUACACGAGUGGCGAACGGGUGAGUAACACGUGGGUGAUCUGCCCUGCACUUCGGGAUAAGCCUGGGAAACUGGGUCUAAUACCGGAUAGGACCACUGCCUGCAUGGGUGGUGGUGGAAAGCUUUUGCGGUGUGGGAUGGGCCCGCGGCCUAUCAGCUUGUUGGUGGGGUGAUGGCCUACCAAGGCGACGACGGGUAGCCGGCCUGAGAGGGUGACCGGCCACACUGGGACUGAGGUACGGCCCAGACUCCUACGGGAGGCAGCAGUGGGGAAUAUUGCACAAUGGGCGCAAGCCUGAUGCAGCGACGCCGCGUGAGGGAUGACGGCCUUCGGGUUGUAAACCUCUUUCAGCACCGACGAAGCGCAAGUGACGGUAGGUGCAGAAGAAGGACCGGCCAACUACGUGCCAGCCGCCGCCUAA
rnacentral:rRNA from 1 species